UUGCCUACGAGGGGCAGCAGUGGGGAAUAUUGCACAAUGGGGGAAACCCUGAUGCAGCGACGCCGCGUGAAGGAAGAAGUAUUUCGGUAUGUAAACUUCUAUCAGCAGGGAAGAAAAUGACGGUACCUGACUAAGAAGCCCCGGCUAACUACGUGCCAGCAGCCGCGGUAAUACGUAGGGGGCAAGCGUUAUCCGGAUUUACUGGGUGUAAAGGGAGCGUAGGCGGCGAUGCAAGUCAGAAGUGAAAGCCCGGGGCUCAACUCCGGGACUGCCUUUGAAACUGUGUUGCUAGUUUGCAGGUAAGG
rnacentral:rRNA from 1 species